rnacentral:rRNA from 1 species
GACGAACGCUGGCGGCGUGCUUAACACAUGCAAGUCGAACGGAAAGGCCCUGCUCUUGUGGGGUGCUCGAGUGGCGAGCGGGUGAGUAAAACGUGUGUAACAUGCACUUGACUUUGGGAUAAAUUCAGGGAAAUGGGGCUAAUACCGGAUAGGAGCUCUUGCAGCAUGGUGGGGGAUGGAAAGAUACGGCGGUUGGGGAUGGAAUCGCGGCUUAUCAGCUUGUUGGUGGGGUAGUGGCUUACCAAGGCUUUGACGGGUAGCCGGCCUGAGAGGGUGACCGGCCACAAUGGGACUGAGAUACGGCCCAGACGCCUACGGGAGGCAGCAGUGGGGAAUAUUGCACAAUGGGCGGAAGCCUGAGGCAGCAACGCCGCGUGCGUGAUGACGGCCUACGAGUGGUAAACCGCUUUCUCCUGUGACGAAGCGGGAUUGACGGUAAUGGGUAAAGAAGCACCGGCUAACUACGUG